UACGAAGGUGGCAAGCGUUGUUCGGAUUUACUGGGCGUACAGGGAGCGUAGGCGGUUGGGUAAGCCCUCCGUGAAAUCUCCGGGCCUAACCCGGAAAGUGCGGAGGGGACUGCUCGGCUAGAGGAUGGGAGAGGAGCGCGGAAUUCCCGGUGUAGCGGUGAAAUGCGUGGAGAUCGGGAGGAGGGCCGGUGGCGAAGGCGGCGCUCUGGAACAUUUCUGACGCUGAGGCUCGAAAGCGUGGGGAGCAAACAGG
rnacentral:rRNA from 1 species